GGGAUCGUAAAAGGACUGCUAUUGGUUGAUCUGCUCUGAAUCCACAGAAGUGUCUACAGAAGGAAGGAAAGAAGGAACAGGGAUCUAAGCAAGAAAAGGGAAGCAGUGGCAGCUGAUCCCCCACCCUGGAGCUGGUGGGGUGAAGGGCAGGGCAGCUAACACUAAUUUAUUUGCGGUGAGGAUUCUAUAAUGUGCUGAGCAAACAAGAAAACAAACUGUGUAGAAGUUGAUGGUUUCUACUGCAGUGAAUCCCAAGUGCCACAUUGCGACUUUGCAAGUACCAGUGGAAGUCAUUGUACUACCAGAAAGAUGUGUAGGAAACAAUGCAGCAAAAAGGCCAAGAGGAAGGGACUUCU